rnacentral:misc_RNA from 1 species
AAGGUAGCGGGAUCCACAUUCCCCUGUAUACCAAUAUCUGUUCCUAGUCGCCGCCUUCCAUCUGCCAUAUCAACUGUCCAGUCAAGUCCAAUUACAUCAACUCCAGUUGUUUUCAUCCGUUCAAGAAGUCCACCAUUUCCGUUAAUGUAGAGCACAAGAGGUGUUUGUGGGCACUUUCUUUUAAUUAUACCAACUAUCUCAUCAAUAUAAGGCUUUGACCAGCAGUCCCACAUAUGAGGUGGGAGUUGUCCACCCCAUGAAUCAAAUAUCUGGAUGCAAUGAGCUCCAGACUCCACUUGAUACACAAUAUACUCAGCAAUUGCUUUUGAUAAAUGAGAUAACAAAGCUCUCAAAACAUGAGGAGCGGUAUGGCACAUGUCCUUAAUCUUCGUAUAUGUACGAGUUGUACCUCCUUCAACUAUGUAGGUAGCAAUUGUCCAAGGCGCUCCGACAAAACCCAAAAUUGCAGCUUGUUCUCCAACCUCCUUCCUCAAAAUACUAAGUGAGUCUCCCACAAAUUGUAGUUUCUCCAAGUCAAUGGAGUGCAAUGCUUUCAAUCCCUCUUCAGAACGAAUGGGAGACUGAAUGACUGGGCCUCUUACAUCUUCAAUGUCAAAUUGGACACCAAAUGCAGGUAGCGGGGUAAGUAUGUCCGAAAAGAUGAUUACACCAUCUGGAUGAAAAGCUUCCCAGGGCUGCAAAGAAAUUUCCACAAUGAGAUCAGUUGUCUCUGAUCUCUCUCUGAAGGAUGGAUGUUUCUCCGCAAGCUUUCGGUAAACAGCCAUAUACCUUCCCGCUUGACGCAUCAUCCAAGCGGGUGGGCGACUCACCCGUUCUCUUCUUGCAGCCUUCACCAAAAGAGGAUCAGAGUUAGAAGAAG